rnacentral:rRNA from 1 species
CCCUUAGAUGUUCUGGGCCGCACGCGCGCUACACUGAUGCAUUCAACGAGUCUAAAACCUGCUCUGAUAGGGGUGGGUAAUCUUUUGAAUGUGCAUCGUGAUUGGGAUAGAUGAUUGCAAUUUUUCAUCUUCAACGAGGAAUGCCUAGUAAACGCAAGUCACCAGCUUGCAUUGAUUACGUCCCUGCCCUUUGUACACACCGCCCGUCGCUCCUACCGAUUGAAUGAUCCGAUGAAUAUCAUGGAUUGAGGAUUAUAGCAGGUUCGCCUGUCUUGAUCUUCGAGAAGUGAAGUAAAUCUUAUCAUUUAGAGGAAGGAGAAGUCGUAACA